GAACUGCGAUAAGUAAUGUGAAUUGCAGAAUUCAGUGAAUCAUCGAGUCUUUGAACGCACAUUGCGCCCCCUGGCAUUCCGGGGGGCAUGCCUGUCCGAGCGUCAUUGCUGCCCUUCAAGCCCGGCUUGUGUGUUGGGUCGUCGUCCCCUCCGGGGGACGGGCCCGAAUGGCAGCGGCGGCACCGCGUCCGGUCCUCGAGCGUAUGGGGCUUUGUCACCCGCUCGAUAAGGACCGGCCGGGCGCCAGCCGGCGUCUCCAACCUUUUUUUCUCAGGUUGACCUCGGAUCAGGUAGGGAUACCCGCUGAACUUAAGC
rnacentral:misc_RNA from 1 species